rnacentral:rRNA from 1 species
UGGGGAAUAUUGCACAAUGGGGGAAACCCUGAUGCAGCGACGCCGCGUGAGUGAGGAAGUAUUUCGGUAUGUAAAGCUCUAUCAGCAGGGAAGAAAAUGACGGUACCUGACUAAGAAGCCCCGGCUAACUACGUGCC